UGCCCCAUGGCUGAGUUGGUUACAGCGUCCGACUGUUACCUCCCUGACAUCGGAAGGUCGUGAGUUCGAGCCUCACUGGGGCAG
rnacentral:tRNA from 1 species